rnacentral:rRNA from 1 species
GCGGUGGAUGAUGUGGUUUAAUUCGAUGCAACGCGAAAACCUUACCCACCUUUGACAUGUACGGAAGCCUUUAGAGAUAGAGGCGUGCUCGAAAGAGAGCCGUAACACAGGUGCUGCAUGGCUGUCGUCAGCUCGUGUCGUGAGAUGUUGGGUUAAGUCCCGCAACGAGCGCAACCCUUGUCAUUAGUUGCUACAUUCAGUUGGGCACUCUAAUGAGACUGCCGGUGACAAGCCGGAGGAAGGUGGGGAUGACGUCAAGUCCUCAUGGCCCUUAUAGGUGGGGCUACACACGUCAUACAAUGGCUGGUACAAAGGGUUGCCAACCCGCGAGGGGGAGCUAAUCCCAUAAAGCCAGUCGUAGUCCGGAUCGUAGUCUGCAACUCGACUACGUGAAGUCGGAAUCGCUAGUAAUCGUGGAUCAGAAUGUCACGGUGAAUACGUUCCCGGGUCUU